CCUACGGGAGGCAGCAGUGGGGAAUAUUGGACAAUGGGCGAAAGCCUGAUCCAGCCAUGCCGCGUGUGUGAAGAAGGCCUUUUGGUUGUAAAGCACUUUAAGUGGGGAGGAAAAGCUUAUGGUUAAUACCCAUAAGCCCUGACGUUACCCACAGAAUAAGCACCGGCUAACUCUGUGCCAGCAGCCGCGGUAAUACAGAGGGUGCAAGCGUUAAUCGGAAUUACUGGGCGUAAAGCGAGCGUAGGUGGUUAUUUAAGUCAGAUGUGAAAGCCCCGGGCUUAACCUGGGAACUGCAUCUGAUACUGGAUAACUAGAGUAGGUGAGAGGGGAGUAGAAUUCCAGGUGUAGCGGUGAAAUGCGUAGAGAUCUGGAGGAAUACCGAUGGCGAAGGCAGCUUCCUGGCAUCAUACUGACACUGAGGUUCGAAAGCGUGGGUAGCAAACAGGAUUAGAUACCCUAGUAGUC
rnacentral:rRNA from 1 species